rnacentral:antisense_RNA from 1 species
CUUCACUGAUCCCAACCACAACGGAUGACCAGCCUCACGGCCCUGCCCGUAGGUGGCCAGCAACGCCUGCGCCUC